AGGAUAAUAGUUAAUUAUAACAUUAAAUUUGCAAUUUAAAAGUAUUGAAGUCAAUUUAUCUUA
rnacentral:tRNA from 1 species